UAAUUUAAAGUCUAAUCUGCCCCCUGAUAAUUAUUAAGGGCUGCAGUAAUUUGACUGUACAAAGGUAGCAUAAUCAAUAGUCUUUUAAUUGAAGACUUGUAUGAAAGAUUUGAUGAAAUAUAAACUGUCUCUUAAUUAUAAUUAAAACUUAAUUUUUUAGUUAAAAAGCUAAAAUAAUUUUAAAAGACGAGAAGACCCUAUAGAGUUUUAUAAUUUUUAUUUUUAAAUAUUUAUAUAAAUUUUUAAUUUUUAAGAAUAAAAAUUAUUUUAUUGGGGUGAUAAAAAAAUUAAAAAAACUUUUUUUUUUUUUUACAUUGAUAAUUGAAUAAUUGAUCCUUUAUUUAAGAUUAUAAGAAUAAAUUACCUUAGGGAUAACAGCGUAAUAUUUUUUUUUAGUACGAAUAAAAAAAAAAGUUUGCGACCUCGAUGUUGGAUUAAGAUAAAAUUUAAAUGCAAAAGUUAAAAUUU
rnacentral:rRNA from 1 species